rnacentral:rRNA from 1 species
AUUGAACGCUGGCGGCAGGCCUAACACAUGCGAGUCGAGCGGAUGAAGGGAGCUUGCUCCUGGAUUCAGCGGCGGAAGGGGGAGUAAUGCCUAGGAAUCUGCCUGGUAGUGGGGGAUAACGUCCGGAAACGGGCGCUAAUACCGCAUACGUCCUGAGGGAGAAAGUGGGGGAUCUUCGGACCUCACGCUAUCAGAUGAGCGUAGGUCGGAUUAGCUAGUUGGUGGGGUAAAGGCCUACCAAGGCGACGAUCCGUAACUGGUCUGAGAGGAUGAUCAGUCACACUGGAACUGAGACACGGUCCAGACUCCUACGGGACGCAGCAGUGGGGAAUAUUGGACAAUGGGCGAAAGCCUGAUCCAGCCAUGCCGCGUGUGUGAAGAAGGUCUUCGGAUUGUAAAGCACUUUAAGUUGGGAGGAAGGGCAGUAAGUUAAUACCUUGCUGUUUUGACGGUACCAACAGAAUAAGCACCGGCUAACUUCGUG